AUUGAACGCUGGCGGCAUGCUUUACACAUGCAAGUCGAACGGUAACAGGCCGCAAGGUGCUGACGAGUGGCGAACGGGUGAGUAAUGCAUCGGAACGUGCCCAGUCGUGGGGGAUAACGCAGCGAAAGCUGUGCUAAUACCGCAUACGAUCUAUGGAUGAAAGCGGGGGACCGUAAGGCCUCGCGCGAUUGGAUCGGCCGAUGUCAGAUUAGCUAGUUGGCGGGGUAAAGGCCCACCAAGGCGACGAUCUGUAGCUGGUCUGAGAGGACGACCAGCCACACUGGGAGUGAGGCACGGCCCAGACUCCUACGGGAGGCAGCAGUGGGGAAUUUUGGACAAUGGGCGCAAGCCUGAUCCAGCAAUGCCGCGUGCAGGAAGAAGGCCUUCGGGUUGUAAACUGCUUUCGUACGGAACGAAACGGUCUGGGUUAAUACCUCGGGCUAAUGACGGUACCGUAAGAAUAAGCACCGGCUAGCUACGUGCCAGCCGCCGCCGUAACAC
rnacentral:rRNA from 1 species